GACGAACGCUGGCGGCGUGCUUAACACAUGCAAGUCGAACGAUGAAGCUGGAGCUUGCUCCGGUGGAUUAGUGGCGAACGGGUGAGUAACACGUGAGUAACCUGCCCUUGACUCUGGGAUAACUGCGGGAAACUGUAGCUAAUACCGGAUACGACCCUCGGCGGCAUCGCCAGGGGGUGGAAAGAAUUUCGGUCAAGGAUGGACUCGCGGCCUAUCAGCUAGUUGGUGAGGUAACGGCUCACCAAGGCGACGACGGGUAGCCGGCCUGAGAGGGUGACCGGCCACACUGGGAUUGAGACACGGCCCAGACUCCUACGGGAGGCAGCAGUGGGGAAUAUUGCACAAUGGGCGCAAGCCUGAUGCAGCAACGCCGCGUGAGGGAUGACGGCCUUCGGGUUGUAAACCUCUUUUAGUAGGGAAGAAGCGAAAGUGACGGUACCUGCAGAAAAAGCACCGGCUAACUACGUGCCAGCCGCCGCGGUAA
rnacentral:rRNA from 1 species